GUUAUAUGGUCAAGUGAAGAAGCGCAUACGGUGGAUGCCUUGGCAGUCAGAGGCGAUGAAAGACGUGGUAGCCUGCGAAAAGCUUCGGGGAGUCGGCAAACAGACUUUGAUCCGGAGAUGUCUGAAUGGGGGAACCCAGCCAUCAUAAGAUGGUUAUCUUGUACUGAAUACAUAGGUGCAAGAGGCGAACCAGGGGAACUGAAACAUCUAAGUACCCUGAGGAAAAGAAAUCAACCGAGAUUCCCUUAGUAGUGGCGAGCGAACGGGGACUAGCCCUUAAGUGGCUUUGAGAUUAGCGGAAUGCUCUGGAAAGUGCGGCCAUAGUGGGUGAUAGCCCUGUACGCGAAAAUCUCUUAGUCAUGAAAUCGAGUAGGACGGAGCACGAGAAACUUUGUCUGAAUAUGGGGGACCAUCCUCCAAGGCUAAAUACUACUGACUGACCGAUAGUGAACUAGUACCGUGAGGGAAAGGCGAAAAGAACCCCGGAGAGGGGAGUGAAAUAGAUCCUGAAACCGUAUGCGUACAAGCAGUGGGAGCCCACUUUGUUGGGUGACUGCGUACCUUUUGUAUAAUGGGUCAGCGACUUAUUUUCAGUGGCGAGCUUAACCGAAUAGGGGAGGCGUAGCGAAAGCGAGUCUUAAUAGGGCGUCUAGUCGCUGGGAAUAGACCCGAAACCGGGCGAUCUAUCCAUGGGCAGGUUGAAGGUUGGGUAACACUAACUGGAGGACCGAACCGACUACCGUUGAAAAGUUAGCGGAUGACCUGUGGAUCGGAGUGAAAGGCUAAUCAAGCUCGGAGAUAGCUGGUUCUCCUCGAAAGCUAUUUAGGUAGCGCCUCAUGUAUCACUGUAGGGGGUAGAGCACUGUUUCGGCUAGGGGGUCAUCCCGACUUACCAAACCGAUGCAAACUCCGAAUACCUACAAGUGCCGAGCAUGGGAGACACACGGCGGGUGCUAACGUCCGUCGUGAAAAGGGAAACAACCCAGACCGUCAGCUAAGGUCCCAAAGUUAUGGUUAAGUGGGAAACGAUGUGGGAAGGCUUAGACAGCUAGGAGGUUGGCUUAGAAGCAGCCACCCUUUAAAGAAAGCGUAAUAGCUCACUAGUCGAGUCGGCCUGCGCGGAAGAUGUAACGGGGCUCAAACCAUACACCGAAGCUACGGGUAUCACGUAAGUGAUGCGGUAGAGGAGCGUUCUGUAAGCCUGUGAAGGUGAGUUGAGAAGCUUGCUGGAGGUAUCAGAAGUGCGAAUGCUGACAUGAGUAACGAUAAUGGGUGUGAAAAACACCCACGCCGAAAGACCAAGGUUUCCUGCGCAACGUUAAUCGACGCAGGGUUAGUCGGUCCCUAAGGCGAGGCUGAAAAGCGUAGUCGAUGGAAAACAGGUUAAUAUUCCUGUACUUCUGGUUAUUGCGAUGGAGGGACGGAGAAGGCUAGGCCAGCUUGGCGUUGGUUGUCCAAGUUUAAGGUGGUAGGCUGAGAUCUUAGGUAAAUCCGGGAUCUUAAGGCCGAGAGCUGAUGACGAGUUACCUUUCAGGUAACGAAGUGGUUGAUGCCAUGCUUCCAAGAAAAGCUUCUAAGCUUCAGGUAACCAGGAACCGUACCCCAAACCGACACAGGUGGUUGGGUAGAGAAUACCAAGGCGCUUGAGAGAACUCGGGUGAAGGAACUAGGCAAAAUGGCACCGUAACUUCGGGAGAAGGUGCGCCGGUGAGGGUGAAGGACUUGCUCCGUAAGCCCAUGCCGGUCGAAGAUACCAGGCCGCUGCGACUGUUUAUUAAAAACACAGCACUCUGCAAACACGAAAGUGGACGUAUAGGGUGUGACGCCUGCCCGGUGCCGGAAGGUUAAUUGAUGGGGUUAGCUAACGCGAAGCUCUUGAUCGAAGCCCCGGUAAACGGCGGCCGUAACUAUAACGGUCCUAAGGUAGCGAAAUUCCUUGUCGGGUAAGUUCCGACCUGCACGAAUGGCGUAACGAUGGCGGCGCUGUCUCCACCCGAGACUCAGUGAAAUUGAAAUCGCUGUGAAGAUGCAGUGUAUCCGCGGCUAGACGGAAAGACCCCGUGAACCUUUACUAUAGCUUUGCACUGGACUUUGAAUUUGCUUGUGUAGGAUAGGUGGGAGGCUUUGAAGCGUGGACGCCAGUCUGCGUGGAGCCAACCUUGAAAUACCACCCUGGCAACUUUGAGGUUCUAACUCAGGUCCGUUAUCCGGAUCGAGGACAGUGUAUGGUGGGUAGUUUGACUGGGGCGGUCUCCUCCUAAAGAGUAACGGAGGAGUACGAAGGUGCGCUCAGACCGGUCGGAAAUCGGUCGUAGAGUAUAAAGGCAAAAGCGCGCUUGACUGCGAGACAGACACGUCGAGCAGGUACGAAAGUAGGUCUUAGUGAUCCGGUGGUUCUGUAUGGAAGGGCCAUCGCUCAACGGAUAAAAGGUACUCCGGGGAUAACAGGCUGAUACCGCCCAAGAGUUCAUAUCGACGGCGGUGUUUGGCACCUCGAUGUCGGCUCAUCACAUCCUGGGGCUGAAGCCGGUCCCAAGGGUAUGGCUGUUCGCCAUUUAAAGUGGUACGCGAGCUGGGUUUAGAACGUCGUGAGACAGUUCGGUCCCUAUCUGCCGUGGACGUUUGAGAUUUGAGAGGGGCUGCUCCUAGUACGAGAGGACCGGAGUGGACGAACCUCUGGUGUUCCGGUUGUCACGCCAGUGGCAUUGCCGGGUAGCUAUGUUCGGAAUAGAUAACCGCUGAAAGCAUCUAAGCGGGAAACUAGCCUCAAGAUGAGAUCUCACUGGGACCUUGAGUCCCCUGAAGGGCCGUCGAAGACUACGACGUUGAUAGGUUGGGUGUGUAAGCGCUGUGAGGCGUUGAGCUAACCAAUACUAAUUGCCCGUGAGGCUUGACCAUAUAACACCCAAGCAAUU
rnacentral:rRNA from 1 species